AGGACUAUAGCUUAGUGGCAGAGCAUCUGCCUUCCAUCUAGAAGGUCCCAGGUUCAUCUCUUGCCUAAAACCCUGGAGAGCUAGUGCCA